rnacentral:rRNA from 1 species
CACGUAGGGGGCAAGCGUUGUCCGGAUUUAUUGGGCGUAAAGAGCUCGUAGGCGGUUCGGUAAGUCGGGUGUGAAACCUCCAGGCUCAACCUGGAGACGCCACCUGAUACUGCUGUGACUCGAGUCCGGUAGGGGAGCGUGGAAUUCCUGGUGUAGCGGUGAAAUGCGCAGAUAUCAGGAGGAACACCGAUGGCGAAGGCAGGUCUCUGGGCAUUAACUGACGCUGAGGAGCGAAAGCAUGGGGAGCGAACAGG